rnacentral:rRNA from 1 species
UACGUAGGGUGCGAGCGUUAAUCGGAAUUACUGGGCGUAAAGCGUGCGCAGGCGGUUAUGUAAGACAGAUGUGAAAUCCCCGGGCUCAACCUGGGAACUGCAUUUGUGACUGCAUAGCUAGAGUACGGCAGAGGGGGAUGGAAUUCCGCGUGUAGCAGUGAAAUGCGUAGAUAUGCGGAGGAACACCGAUGGCGAAGGCAAUCCCCUGGACCUGUACUGACGCUCAUGCACGAAAGCGUGGGGAGCAAACAGG